CGGAGGGGGCGAGCGUUAUUCGGAAUUAUUGGGCGUAAAGGGCGCGUAGGCGGCCUGGUCAGUCGAAGGUGAAAUCCCCGAGCUCAACUUGGGAACUGCCUUCGAUACUGCCGGGCUUGAGUCCGGGAGGGGAGAGUGGAAUUCCCAGUGUAGCGGUGAAAUGCGUAGAUAUUGGGAGGAACACCGGUGGCGAAGGCGGCUCUCUGGACCGGUUCUGACGCUGAGGCGCGAAAGCGUGGGUAGCAAACAGGAUUAGAUACCCUGGUAGUCCACGCCGUAAACGAUGGGUACUCGGUGCAGGGGGUAUCGACCCCUCCUGUGCCAAAGCUAACGCAUUAAGUACCCCGCCUGGGGAGUACGGUCGCAAGGCUG
rnacentral:rRNA from 1 species